CCACAGCGCCACCCACGUCCCUUUCCAGGAGGGUUACAACAACUUAAAAUAAGUUAAGGCAACUGAGGUCAAGAGACUAAGGUUGGUCCUAAAACUUAUAUCCUCAACCAGUAGCUUGGCCAGUGAGUUGCAUCUUCAGUACAGGAAGAAAGCUGCAUAAAGGUAGUGCCAGGUGGAGAGGGAAUUCCACAGCUUUGGGCUGCCAUAGAGAACUGGGCGGGUGGUGGAACUACCAAGAGGGCCCCCCCUGCCAAUCUUAAUGUCCAAGAAGGUGCAAAUAUAAGGUGGCUGUGCUUCAGAUACUGGAGCCUAAGUUGCUGAGGGUUAAAUAAGGGAACUGCUUCCACAUAAUGGCAUUAGCAGGUAAAUGGAUCAGGCAGACCUGGAACUGCAAUUUCAUUUGUGCAAAGCCAAACCCUCCUCGCCCCUCCUGGUAUCAUGCAUGGUGAAUAGAGAGUGGGGUCACUCACUGCCCCCAUCUCCCUCUUUUUUCACAAGCGCAUUUUCAGCCUCUGUGAUAUGUUCUGACAGAGUGAGGUCUGUGGCAAGUCUUUGCGCAGCCAAGCCAUCUGCUUCCCAUCCUGGAGAGCAACUGGGCUCCAAAGGACAGUAAGUGGGGGUUUUUUUAAUUUUAAAAAACACCAAAAACUUAUUGUAUUUAUAUCUCACCUAUUUCUCUAGGGAGCUUAAGGUAGCAUAAACCUUUUAAGUGGGAUCUUUAUCCCAGUCUGCAUCUCUACUGGAACUAUUUUUAAACACGGAAUCGUGUUGUUGUUUUUUAAAUGUGCAUUGUUUUAUGUAGGGAACUGUUCUGUUUGUUUUGUAAUUGUAUGUUUUAUUGUUGCGAGGCGACCUGGAGCCUUGUGGUAAAGGACAGUCCAGAAAUCGAAUUAAUUAAUUAAAUAUGCUUUGCCAUUGGACUUUGAUCCAUAAAACAAAAACCAACACCCCCCACCCUUACAUAGAGAUACUAGGUUGUCGCAGGAGACUCCAAGGCCCAGCAGGCCUUCUGAGGAAGAGCAGACUGAUAGAAAAACUCUUUGACAUACUCUGUCUUUUCUUGUUUAAUGUUCCUAGGAAUAGUAGAAAGAUAAGAAAUGAGGGUUUGGGGAACAGAUAUCACAAAUGGAGAGAGAUCUGUUGGAAUGUAAUGUUAAAGUGCUGUCUAAAAGGUAUAAGUUAUUAUUGGACUGGGAAACAAAGGAUGAGCAAGUAAAAUCUUCAGUGAUACAUUGGGCAAUAGAUAUUGGUUAUAAUAUAGAUAUGGAAGCAUGGGAACAAUUGUGGAACAUGGAUAUAAAAUUUACAGCAUGCUAUGGUUUAAGAGAAAACAAUAGGAAAAUGUUACAUAGAUGAUAUUUAACACUGAGUAAACUGGCAAAAAUGUAUAAAUC